rnacentral:rRNA from 1 species
UACGUAGGGUGCAAGCGUUAAUCGGAAUUACUGGGCGUAAAGCGCGCGCAGGCGGUUAUGUAAGUCAGGUGUGAAAUCUCAGGGCUUAACCUUGGAACUGCAUUUGUGACUGCAUAGCUAGAGUACGGUAGAGGGGGAUGGAAUUCCGCGUGUAGCAGUGAAAUGCGUAGAUAUGCGGAGGAACACCGAUGGCGAAGGCAAUCCCCUGGACCUGUACUGACGCUCAUGCACGAAAGCGUGGGGAGCAAACAGG